UGGGGAAUAUUGCACAAUGGGCGCAAGCCUGAUGCAGCCAUGCCGCGUGUGUGAAGAAGGCCUUCGGGUUGUAAAACACUUUCAGCGAGGAGGAAGGGUAGUGUGUUAAUAGCACAUUGCAUUGACGUUACUCGCAGAAGAAGCACCGGCUAACUCCGUGCCAGCAGCCGCGGUAAUACGGAGGGUGCAAGCGUUAAUCGGAAUUACUGGGCGUAAAGCGCACGCAGGCGGUUUGUUAAGUCAGAUGUGAAAUCCCCGCGCUUAACGUGGGAACUGCAUUUGAAACUGGCAAGCUAGAGUCUUGUAGAGGGGGGUAGAAUUCCAGGUGUAGCGGUGAAAUGCGUAGAGAUCUGGAGGAAUACCGGUGGCGAAGGCGGCCCCCUGGACAAAGACUGACGCUCAGGUGCGAAAGCGUGGGGAGCAAACA
rnacentral:rRNA from 1 species